GAGUGGUCUGGCUAUGACAUCUGUUACCCUGUUGAUUGUGAGAGUUGAUUUGUCUAAUCGAGCCAUGUGGAUAAGUGUCCCUUUUCUUCAUGUGUGUCCUUUCCAAAGCUGUGUAUUGGGUGGAAGAGGGUGAUCAUCUCCAGAAAAAGGGGAUGACAAAUUGACAAAUUGGCAUUGUUGCACAGAUACAAAGGUGUAUAAUAGCGAAGGUUCUUAUCCUGGUAUCAUUCCAUAUGAGACUGCCAUGGAAUAGCUCUUUAU
rnacentral:snRNA from 11 species